rnacentral:lncRNA from 1 species
CAGAUUUCUUAAACACAUGCGGAAUAAAUGCAGAUCUAUUGUCAGGAGUAAUGACGUCUGGAAAUCUGGACAUUGAAAAGACCUAGUCCAGCGCUAUUUUUGUGAAGCAGAGGUAUUUUGAGAAGGUAGUGGCAACAAGGACAACAUUCUUAUUCUUGUAAAAUAAAUAGGACUUCUGACCAAGUCUUGACCAUUUUCCAUGAAAAGGAAAGGUAUCAUUGGUGGAGUAUAGGGAGUGGUCUGGUAUUGGCUACGGUCUUCUAAAUAUCACAAUUAAUUAUAGGCUUCACAUAUAAGUAGUGUAUAAAUCUUCAUUCAAGAAUUUCUGGGUGGGUUCCCAUAGUGGCUCAAUGGGUUAAGAUCCCUGGCCUUGCUCAGUGGGUUAAGGAUCCAGCUUUGCCAAGAGCUGUGGUGUAGGUCACAGAUGAGGCUUGGAUCUGGAGUGGCUGUGGCUGUGGCUGUGGCUGGCAGCUGUAGCUCCAAUUCGACCUCGACCCCUAGCCUGGGAACCUCCAUACGUGGGUACAGCCCCAAAAGGACAAAAAAAAAAAAAAAAAAAAGGAGAUAUUCAAACUAGGUGUAAUUAGAUUAAAUAUCAUGAACCUAGCUUUUUUUGAAAAAAAAUUUAUACUCUGGUUACUAGAGCUGACUUAGUCCUGUUUAAAGUAUCUGGUGGGAUUAGUGCCUGGUGGAGGUGGGGAGAGUCAAAUGUGAGUAAGAAAGUAAUCCUUCUAUAACUUGCUACUAGUCUUUAUUUUCCAUAUAUGUUGAAAGUAUUUCUAGUCAGAGUUCUUUUUUAUUUUUUUCUGUUAAAAAGUUAUACUCAGUCUCCAGUAACUUACUUUUUUUUUUUUCUUUUUAGAGCUGCACCCAUGGCAUAAGGAAGUUCUUAGGCUAGGGGUCAAAUCGGAGCUAUAGCUAUCAGCCUAAGCUAUAGACACAGCAACGGUGGGAGCCAAGCCACAUCUGUGAGCUACAUAGCACAUGGCAACCCCAGAUUCUUAACCCACUGAGUGAGGUCUGGGAUCUAACCCGAAUCCUCCUGGACUCUAGUCAGAUUUGUUUCUGCUGCGCCACAAAGGGAACUCCCUCCAGUAACUUUUUAAUUAGUUUACAAGUUUUAUGAAUUGUGUUGAGAGAUUUAUAUGACCUGUCAAAACAAUUCAUAAAAUUCCUAUUUUGAAGGGGAAAUUAAAAGUCAAGGUGAUGGAAAGGUUAUAUUUAUGCACUUGGGGGAGAUGAAAGACAUAGAUAGGAUGCCUUUGAAAGUUAAUGAGAAGCUACUUGUCAGGCAGGCUGUUCAGGAGCGAUGUCAGCGAGUGAAAUGGUCUGUUGCCUUUGGGAAAAUAAUUCAGUGUCUGAAAACGAUGAAAAGCAUCUAGGCUUAAGAGCUGGGUUAGCCAUGGUGAUUCUCUGACUUGCCCCUACUCCCUCCCUUCCUAUUUCCAGCACAAAAUCAGCUUCUGCAUAUGGAGAAUGUUAUCCAAACUUGGCUGUCAUUCAUGUAUGUUCUUGGUAUUAUUUAUUUUUUUUACAGUUUUUAUUUCCCCAAUACAUUAUUUUUUUUUCUACUGUACAGCAUGGUGACCCACUUACACAUACAUGUAUACAUUCUUUUUUCUCACAUUAUCAUGCUCCAUCAUAUGACCAGACAUAGUUCUCAGUGCCACACAGCAGGAUCUCAUUGCUAAUCCAUUCCAAAGGCAAUAGUCUGCAGCUGUUAACCCCAAGCUCCCAGUCCAUCCCACUCCCUCCCUGUCCCCCUUCAUGACAGCAGACAGAAAACCAAAUGAAAAAACAUGAAAGCAAUGUAAGAGACCUAUGGGAUAAUAUAAAGCAGGCCAAUCUACACAUAAUAGGAAUUCCAGAAGGAGAAGAAAAAGAAACGGGGAUUGAAAAUAUAUUAGUAUUAUUUAAAAUAAUGAAAUUGACACUAGACACUUCAGUAAACAGGCUAUUUACUUUAGGUUUGUAUUGACCUAUUCUUUGUAGUUUAACUGGCUAUCUCGAACAAAGUCUGCUUAAUUUGAGGGAAU